GCCCCAGACUCCUACGGGAGGCAGCAGUGGGGAAUAUUGCACAAUGGGGGAAACCCUGAUGCAGCGACGCCGCGUGAGCGAUGAAGUAUUUCGGUAUGUAAAGCUCUAUCAGCAGGGAAGAAGAUGACGGUACCUGAGUAAGAAGCCCCGGCUAACUACGUGCCAGCAGCCGCGGUAAUACGUAGGGGGCAAGCGUUAUCCGGAUUUACUGGGUGUAAAGGGAGCGUAGACGGCGAAGAAAGUCUGAAGUGAAAGCCCGCGGCGCAACCGCGGAAUGGCUUUGGAAACUUUUUUGCUGGAGUACCGGAGAGGUAAGCGGAAUUCCUAGUGUAGCGGUGAAAUGCGUAGAUAUUAGGAGGAACACCAGUGGCGAAGGCGGCCUGCUGGGCUUUUACUGACGCUGAGGCUCGAAAGUGUGGGGAGCAAACAGGAUUAGAUACCCCGGUACAA
rnacentral:rRNA from 1 species